rnacentral:rRNA from 1 species
AGAGCGAACGCUGGCGGCAGGCCUAAUACAUGCAAGUCGAACGGAUCCUUCGGGAUUAGUGGCGGACGGGUGAGUAACACGUGGGAACGUGCCCUUUGGUUCGGAACAACUCAGGGAAACUUGAGCUAAUACCGGAUGUGCCCUUCGGGGGAAAGAUUUAUCGCCAUUGGAGCGGCCCGCGUCUGAUUAGCUAGUUGGUGGGGUAAAGGCCCACCAAGGCGACGAUCAGUAGCUGGUCUGAGAGGAUGAUCAGCCACACUGGGACUGAGACACGGCCCAGACUCCUACGGGAGGCAGCAGUAGGGAAUCUUGCGCAAUGGGCGAAAGCCUGACGCAGCCAUGCCGCGUGAAUGAUGAAGGUCUUAGGAUUGUAAAAUUCUUUCAGCGGGGACGAUAAUGACGGUACCCGCAGAAGAAGCCCCGGCUAACUUCGCGCCAGCAGCCGC